GCCUGGACUGUGCUUGAGUCCCUCCCCUAUCUCAUUUUUCCAUUGUUAUUUCCUAGUUACUGGCAGUUUUUUUAUUCUAUCCUUGCUUGCUCUUGUAUUUGCGGCCUUGACUUCUAACAGCCUGGAAUAGGAUGCCAGACAAACUUCUGGAAAACGUGCACGAGAUUCUGUUUCCUCUUUUAACUCUCCUCGGAUCUGAGAGAAAUUAAAUUGUUUGUAGGGAUAAAUUAGAAUCCUUAAGUUUGGCUAUUCUUAUCUGGUGUAAUGCUCCCACUGCGGAUACAUAUGAAGGCAAUCACAUCCAUGAUUGUGUUGCAAUGACUAUCAAGCAACCUGCUCGAUGAGAGGGAUGUAUUAGAAUCUAGCUAAACGAGAUUGGUGGGAUGCAUAAGGUCAAGGAAUUGAUGAAAUAUAGUGUUUUCUCAGAUGCUGGAUUAUUUGUGGAAGAGAUUCUAAAUAAGACAUCAGCUCCAUUACUUUCAGAAGUAAGUGUAGUGCAGUAUUCUUCUUCAGUCUUAACCUAGUCGUAUAUCUGAGUAAGACUUGUGAAAUUUUUCUACGCUGAUCACAGAGGAAGCUGUCAAGAAGAAUGGUGUAAAUCUAGGAACUGUGGUUGCUGACAUUAGAAAGCAGCUUCAUUCAGAUUUGCAAAGCAUUUCUGUGAGUAUUGUCAUUCCCACUAUUUCACAAAAAAA